ensembl:lncRNA
UUAAAAUAGAACAUAACAUGUCACAUAUGAUAGUGGCAGAAGGGGAGCUGAAAUGCAAAAAUGUUAUGAACGUCACAGACGAAGCUGUGUGAAAACCUAUAAAUAUUGAUAUGUCACCUAGUUACUGUGUGAGAAGCUCUGGGAAAGACUUGUGCAGCACAUGCUUUGCAGGACAGUUUCUCUGGUGUAACAAUUGUGGGGCAGCCGGCAUGAUUUGCUGCCCCUGAGACCCGGCAGGAAAGAGCACAACCAAAUUUCUGACCAUCUAGGACACAGGCUCUUGCUGACUGUCCAGCCACCAAGCAGCUGAGGUGUCCAUUGUCUCUCACAGAACAGCUGCUCAGUGGAAGUAACCGACCCCAACGAGUAAAACAGCCUGUGCUGCCUCUUAUCUGCUUAAGCACGUGGAGUCAUCUCAGAUUGGUGAUCUGUUGCUCAGAACUGUGACAGAGAAUAGAAAUUCCUCUGUUCUUGGUAGGUCAGAGAGGAGAUGGAAAACUUCCAUUAGAAGUCUCUGCUCUGGAAGACUUUCAGCCUACUUUCUCCCUCCCUGAGGUUUAAAACUGACGGCUGUGAUCACCAUGCAGAAGAUAAUGGAUGUUACCAACAGUAUCCAGUGUGCUUUGGAGGAGGUGCAGACAAAGCUGACAGGGUGUGCUACCCAUCUGUUCAUUGUCAGUUUAUCACCAAGUCUGUCUGUGUUUACCAAACAGCAUUCAAGGAGGGUGGGAUAAAUGGAGCCCUCCAAUUUUGCACUGAAGCAGAUGAGAGUAUUGACAUGAGCUGUUUGUUCAGCUGGAGGGUCCCAAGCUGCACUAGAGAGGCCAUGAUAAGCCCCUGGCAACGGUAACAGCCUUGGCUGCCUGCACCCUUCUUCAUGGUAAUGAUAGUGCUUGUGGAUGUACCCCUCAACUGGCCAUCAGAAAACUCUUUACUCUUUAUGUCUGUGUCCAGAGUUCCAGAAAGGUGAAUACUGGGUUUUCCUGAAGUAUGUCAGAGUGGAGUUCCACCCAUGGAGAGCACAGUACUAAGAGGAGAACAGUGCUUCUCCUGCUCUGCACUCCCUGCUUUGCUCUGGCACCUUGUGGUAAUUCACUGGACCCUGCUGUGAGCUGAUUCAGCUUGCUAACUGAGCAGAAAGCACGCCAGCAAAAGAAUGAAGAGAUUGUUGCUGAGUUAGCAAGUUGAACCAGUUCACAGAAAAGUGGGAUGAGUGCCAAACCUGGCCUAGGACACGCUAGAACUACGGGGCUGAAGUCCUUCCCUUCAGCUGCAGCACCAAAGCUCCAGGUACAUGUACACCCUUGCUCUCUGGCAACCCCCCCAUUUGACCUUACAUUUGAUCAUACAUGACUGCUGUGCCAAGCAGCAUCUAGAAUCAAAGAAAGAGAUUUUCAGGAUACUAAAUUAAAUGAAGGGAAAUCUGUUGGUUUCUGUAGACAUUCUGUCUAGAGAAAGACUAAGAGAGAAAUAUUACCAUGUUGCCAGGUGUAUCAAUCACAUGGGUGUUUUUAUGUAUGAAAUGUUGAUGUUUUGUGGCUCUGCAAAGAUAGUAAUUUAUUAAAAUCUCUUCCAUUUAAAGAGAACACUGAGACAAAACUAUAAAUAGAAAAUAAUAUUUUUACCAUCUGGCAUAUUUUCAUCUUUGUUCUACAGCAUCCCACAUUAAAUCAUGCUGUAGCACUUACUGCAGGACUGAAGCAGUUGUAUAUAGGGUGAUCUGAAUGCAGGGAACCAAAAUCUCCUUCCCAUUAUGCUGACUAUAUUUCUACUGCUUUCAAUGGAGAUGUAUUAUAAAAAAAAUUGCCCAAAGUUUCAUAGUUCCUGUUGAUGGGAUUCAUCUGCAGGAU